UACGUAGGGGGCAAGCGUUGUCCGGAUUUAUUGGGCGUAAAGGGUGCGUAGGUGGCGCUGUAAGUCGGGUGUGAAAUCCUGGGGCUUAACCCCGGAACUGCAUUCGAUACUGCAGUGCUUGAGGACUGGAGAGGAGACUGGAAUUCAUGGUGUAGCAGUGAAAUGCGUAGAGAUCAUGAGGAAGACCAGUGGCGAAGGCGGGUCUCUGGACAGUUCCUGACACUGAGGCACGAAGGCCAGGGGAGCAAACGGG
rnacentral:rRNA from 1 species